rnacentral:misc_RNA from 1 species
UACGGAGGGUGCAAGCGUUGUUCGGAAUUACUGGGCGUAAAGCGCGCGCAGGCGGGCCAGUAAGUCGAUUGUGAAAGCCCUGGGCUUAACCUUGGAAUUGCAGUCGAAACUACUAGUCUUGAAUACCUGAGAGGGUGGGAGAAUUCCUGGUGUAGAAGUGAAAUUCGUAGAUAUCAGGAGGAAUACCGGAGGCGAAGGCGCCUACCUGGCAGUGUAUUGACGCUGAGGCGCGAAAGCGUGGGGAGCAAACAGG